rnacentral:rRNA from 1 species
UACGAAGGGGGCUAGCGUUGUUCGGAUUUACUGGGCGUAAAGCGCACGUAGGCGGAUCUUUAAGUCAGGGGUGAAAUCCCAAGGCUCAACCUUGGAACUGCCUUUGAUACUGGGGAUCUCGAGUCCGGAAGAGGUUGGUGGAACUCCGAGUGUAGAGGUGAAAUUCGUAGAUAUUCGGAAGAACACCAGUGGCGAAGGCGGCCAACUGGUCCGGCACUGACGCUGAGGUGCGAAAGCGUGGGGAGCAAACAGG